rnacentral:rRNA from 1 species
UACGAAGGGGGCUAGCGUUGCUCGGAAUUACUGGGCGUAAAGGGCGCGUAGGCGGACAGCUUAGUCAGAGGUGAAAGCCCAGGGCUCAACCUUGGAAUUGCCUUUGAUACUGGCUAUCUUGAGUUCGGGAGAGGUGAGUGGAAUGCCGAGUGUAGAGGUGAAAUUCGUAGAUAUUCGGCGGAACACCAGUGGCGGAGGCGACUCACUGGCCCGAUACUGACGCUGAGGCGCGAAAGCGUGGGGAGCAAACAGG